rnacentral:sRNA from 1 species
AUGAAUUGCGGGCGUUUAUGGGAAAUUCAAGGGCUUCCACAAUCUUUAAGUUGGUUGCGGAUAAUCAAGUGCAGGUCGUGGAAUCAACAAUCAUCAAGAAAAAUGUUGAGUCAGGUCUGUCUCUCUCACUCUAUCUCUCGUAUAUGAAGAAACAAUUUUAUUACCUUUCCCCAAAUGCAUAACUAGAUUUGGUAAACUACAACUACAGGCUAUUGAAGAUUUUGCUAAUUUCAAGCAAAUGGGAGAGAUUCAAGGCAUUUCAAUGGAUCCACAGUCCUCAACUGGAUUAUGGCAUCAGCUGCCUUUUGUCUCUCCCUCGCUCUCUGAUGACUUGGAUUCUGAAACUGUGAUCUUUGAUUGUGUAUUUGAUCUACCAGCAUUUGAGAUUCCGAAGGAAUUCAACCACCAAAGUGUUAGAAAUUCCAUAUCAUUUUUGGUCGGUCGGAAAUUUCCAAAUCCUUUUGCUGUCUGUAUUGCUUUUACACUAGGAAAGGGGAAAUUUCGUUUUACGAUUGAUCUUUCAAUCAAUUGUUGUGAAGAAACUCUCUACCAUUCGUAUGAGUCUCGUUUCGACUACAAGGAGCGGGAACCUUUGUGGUUAUUGACUUUAUCUCAUCGGAAAUUGCAAAAGUAUUUGAGUGACUCAAAUUUAUCUGAACAGAAUGAAGUUAAGGUUAUAUGUAAAAUCGAGAAGUGGAAUGAAAUAUCUUCUUCUUAUGAGCCAAUAAAUCCUACGGGUUUCAUACAAAGGAUGUGGGUCCGUGUAGAAUGCAUCUGUUGUCCUCAUACAUCCGGUAUUCCUUCCUAACUUGCCCUUUCUGAGUGCUAUGGAUAACAUUGAGUCCCCCACUUUUACUAACUCUGACUUGUUGCUCAGAUAUGGAUCACAGCGUUUCCAGCAAGGAAGGAUAUUUAUGGCAUUCAAUGGAAACAACAAAUGCCGUCGGUGAUGGGUUUCGUUUGGGUUCUUUUUCAAAGAGGACAUCUUGGUCAAAGUCCAAAAAAUUGAGCGCGUUGCGUCUAGCGUUUCGCUUUCGUCAUUUUUAUUUUUUUCUUACUUUCUUCUUCUUUUCCUUUUUCUUUUUCUUUUUCUUAAUUGUUUCACUUUUCACUACCUGUUUAUAAAUAGUAGCAGCAAAGUUUUACUUUUUUUUUUUCACUUUUUAGCACAAAUUUUAUUGUUUAUAGAUCUAUAAAUUUUAUUUUUUAGCAAAUUUUUUUUAUUAAAAAUAUGUCCUACGGUACUAUUUAUACAUUUAAAAAUUAUUUUGCUAUAGUAUUUUUCAAUUUUCAGUUUCAGUUUUCAGUUGUAUCCAAACGAUUUCUGCAUUGGUUUGGACAUACAAAUGAUUUCUGCGUCUGCGUUUCUCUUUUGCGUUUUUUUUUUUUGCAUGCGUUUCCGAAGACAGGCUAUUGUUUAUGCAAUGUGCAUGAACAGUAGCCGAAAAUUUUUACUUUUCAGCCCUUAUUCAGCACAUCAGUGGGUCCCGUUUACUGUUUACGGGACCCACAAGCUUCACUUUUUAGAAAUUUUUUCAUUAAAAAUAGGUCUCACGGCAUUAUUCACAUAUUUAAAAAUUAUUUUGAUACAGUGUUUUCAGUUUUUAGUUUUCAACUGUAUCCAAACGGACCCGUUAGCCCCCUUUACACGUAUGUAUUACAUCUCCAAACCCUCUUUGCUUUUGGGUGUUCUAAUGGUACUGUUAUUAAUGUACAUUGAGUGCUUGGUUUGUUUUUUAGACAUAUACGCAUAAAAAGUGCUUUUAUGUUGUAAAUUGGGUUUGUUUCAGUUCAGACUUCAGAUAUUCUUAUUCAAAUUUUAUUAAAAAAAAAAUUUAUAACUCUCUUUCAACUUUUUUUAAUUUUAUAAGUUUGUUGUGGUACUUGUUUUCCUUAAAAACGGUUUAUAAAGCUGAAAGAGAGUUUUGGCAGUAUCACCCUAUUGAGACUGUAGCUUGCUAUAUCUGUCAUGAAAUGGAAUGUGUUUUUGUUAUUGUUGGAAUAAUAUGGUGUUUGAAAAAUUAAAGUAUAAAUUUUAGUUACAAACUUAGUUGUAUCCAAUUAAUACAACACUCACUAAAAAAAUUAGCAUUAUUGGAUAUUUGGAAAUUUUAAUUAUUAAAUUGCAUGUUUUUUAGGUUCUUAACAUACAUGUUAAACCAAUCAGAUUUUAUUUACUAUUCGAAUUAUAAACUUAUUUUUUAUGUAUAAUUUUACACUACAAAAAGUUAAAAUUUAAACAUUUGAUUGAAAAUAUAGUUAUUUAUCUUUUAAAAAUUUUGCAAGCAUGUAGAAUAUAAGCAAAUGCAUUUCUUUGUUUCUUUGCUUAAUACAUUUCUUUUUGAGUAAAAUAAUAGGUGAAUGCAUUCUUUUUCUUCUAAAAAAAAUUUAUUUUGCAUAGAUAGCAAAUAUAUAAUUAAAAACCAUCUUAGGAGAAUCUUAGUAUUGUCACUUUUCGAUUGAAAACGGAAAAAAACAAAAACAAAAAAGAGAGUUGAACUUGAUUAAUGAUUCUGGAUUUUAUUGAGAUUAUAUAGGAGAAGAUCGGCGUGUAAGUGAUCUCUUUGGCACAAACUUGAUAUGAUUUAUUAUCAUGUGAGUAAAAAAUAUAAGGAAUAUGUAUCAAAAAAAUAUAAGGAAUAAUAGCAAUGAUUGUCACAAUUAAUUUAUAGAUUAUGGGAAGAAAAUCCACAAUAUAAGGAUUAACUAGGAGAUGAAAUUAACAACUAAUAAGAGUAAAAUGAGCAACAUAGAAUCCUUAUAUUCUCUUUGGCAUGGGAUGAAAGUAAUUACAAAAAUGCUAACUAUUUAAAGGCUAAAACAGGUUAGCAAUGGAUGAUGAUUGUAAUGGAUCUUAGGAGAUAAUGUGGUUUAACUAAAAAUGACCUCUUAUCCUUAGUGAUGCUUACUUGUCACCAUAAUUAGGCUUGUCCACGGGUCGAGCUGGGUCAGUUUUGGACCCAACCUAGACUCAAUACACCGACAUCAGGUGGAGGGCAAAGGAACUCAAAACUGACCGGCGGCAUCAAUCGGUCUAAUCGGUUUCGGGUGAGGGUGAGUGUUGGUCAGUUUGGUUGGUCUCCAGGAUUUGAAAAAACGUCGUUGGGAUUUGCAAAAAAGUCACUAGAAUCUGUAAAAUGUCGCCAGAAUCUGCAAAAUGUCACCGGAUUUUGCAUUUGUUUUGGCCUGAUUCUGCAUUUUUUUCAUCGAAUUCUACAAAUUUCGUUAAAAAUUGCUAGGAUUUGGUCGGAUCUAGCUAAAUCCAACCAAAUCUGAUCGAGAUCUCGUUGGAUCUAGCUUGAUUCUAUUAGAUUUUUCUCGAUUUUUAUAUAGCUGGGUCGGGUUCGGGUUGCUUGGGUUUUGGAGAAGCAAACCCGCCACUCAACCCGUUGACGUCGAUUCUUGGAAUUAGAAACCCCCCACCGACCAAUUGGAGCUUCGGUUCAGGGCUGAAAUUGGGUUGACAUUGGGUAGGUUGGUCGGUUUUUCGAGCUCUAGUCAGAUCGAGACACCCCUAGUCAUUGUGACUCAAACUCUUUUAAUAAAUUGUUCUUGAAGUAGUACAAAUGUUCCAAUGAUGUGACACUUUUUUUUUUUUUUAAAGAUUUGGGUUGAGUGUAUAUGGUUUGAGAGUUUUGAAUGGAUGGAUUUCUUUGAUUGCCUUUUCAGACCUUUUAUUCUUGUAUCCUAAAUGUUUAGCAAAAGUCCUUACAUGGAUCAAAUGAAGUUAAUCCCUCUUUGGUGCAAAUUAAUUGGUAGAGCAAUUAAUUAUCAUGAUUUGGAAAAAGUUUUACCAAAUGGAUCUUCUUUAUGUCCUUUUGAAUAAAGACCUCCUUUCAUAACCAAUAAACUUUGCACCCCAAAUUACUCAUUAUUAUUCUCUAGAUUUGUGUUGACACUCAUUGUUUCAUGCUUUUUUAAUGAUGUGAAGUCACUAUUUUUUUUUUUUUUACUUCUUCUCUCCCCCAUCUUCAAUUUAAAAUCAUGAACUACUUUUGCAUCCACAUACCACAUUACCGCAUGCCUCUCCCAUUAGAUUGUCUCUUUUCCCCUAACUCUAUUUCCAAACUAUUUCCCCUUGAAUCCCAGCAAACUUUGCACAUUCUUCAAAACCAUCCUAAAUUUAAAUCUCAAACUCGUCAAACUCAUAUACAAAAUCCAUAAGAAUUUUCAAACCUAGAUUGCAAAAAAGAGAAAGCCCAACAACCUCUACAAAUUUGUCAAAACAAUAUUUUAUUUAGAUCCCAAACUCAUCAACAUAUACAAAUUUCAUAUGAAUCAUCAAACUCAAUGAAGCCCAUCAACCUUUGCAAAUUCGUCAAAACUGAUGAAGCACGAUUUCGCCUCAUCAGUAUAAUGGACGAUCUGAAGAUCCUGUGUAAGAAAAAAUACUAAGUGGAUAAUGACACCGGUUUGGGGCCUGCCAAGGAUCCUCUGAUGCUUAAAUUAGCUUAAACUCUUUAGAGAUAAGUAAUCUGUAGAGCGAUCUCUGUGUGUAUGUGUUUUUGUGUGUCCUAUUUACCUGGCUUUCUUGGCUUUAUAUAGCCUCUGCGCGUAUUAAUGCUCUGUGUAACGUUGCACUACAGCUGGGGGAGUUAUGACUCAAAGAUGACCACUUAAUUUCAACUUUUUACUGUCCGUAAUGGUUAUUUAAAUACACAUUAUUAGACGGUAGUAAUGGUUUCACAAUCAUUUAUCACUCAAUCAUUAAAUGUUGUCUGGAAUUAAUGUACUUACGCUCAUCCAUACUCUUACUCGUCAUUAUCAUGGAUGAUUUACAAGUACAGACGAGAAUUUAUAUGCUAGUCAUCAAAAACCAUCCUAAAUUUAGAUCCCAUGCUCAUCAAACUCAUAUAUAAAAUUCAUACAAGUCAUCAAACCCAAAUUGCAUAAAAGAAGAAGAAGUAGCGGCAACGAAGAAGAAGCAGAGCAUGUUAAGACUCACUAAGGCAAUUUAUAGCUAGCACAAGGAAAAAUAUUUCUGGUUGAAUUCAAGGACAACCGGGCCUCCUCAAGAAAGAUGGAAGAUUAGGAAUGGAAUUAGGAACUAGUGAAAUGAUUCUGAUAUUGUUCAUGCAUUCCCCUUUCUUCACAUUACAAUCCCCUUUUAUACUCUCAUGCUCUCUAACUAACUACCAAGCAACUAACUAACUCACUACCAAGUAACUAAGUAUGUCUAAAACAAUUCAGCACAUGACCUAAUACAACUUAGCACAUGUCUAAUUAAAAUUCAGCACAUGCUUUUCAAUUUAGCACCUGUUCAGUACAUGCUUAUGCCUCAUACAAUUCAAUUCCAAUUUUCUAGAUGACUUGGAAGGGACCAAAAUACCUAAGAGACAACUUGUGAGAAGCUAUAUGGGCAAUGAAUUGUUGUUUAUAUGGUUGCAACCUUAAGUAAACCUAGUCACCAACUUCAAAAACCCUAUCUAAUCAAUGUUGGUUAGCUUUUAGCUUCAUUGCAUUCUAAGCCUGCACCAAAUUGUGCUUCAGAAGAGCAAGCAACUCCUAUCUAGAAUGCAGCUACCUAUCCACAGCCUCAACCUUAGUGGUACUAGGGAUGUAGUCAAGGAGUUUUUGGAGGAGGAACACCAUAAAGUGCUUUAAGGGGAGUGCACUUGGUUGAGAUGUGAUAGUUAGUAAUGAACCAAAACUCACACAAUGGUAACCACUCAACCCAUUCAGCAGGUCUGUCACUAGUAAAGGACUUGAGGUACUACUCUAGACUCAUAUUUACCACCUCAGUUUGGCCAUCAAUCUGAGGGUGAUAGAAGGAAGACAUGGUCAAUUGAACACCCUGCAACCUUAUAAGCUCAGACCAUAAAAGUGAUGUGAAAAUAGGAUCUCGAUCACUUACAAUAGAAUUGGGCAUACCAUGCAACUUGAACACAUGUUGAACAAAUAGGGCAGCAACCUUGGAAGCUGAAUAAGGAUGAGAUAAGGCAAUAAAGUGGACAUAUUUAGCAAGCCUAUCCACUACCACAAACACCACAUCCAUUUUUGUGAGACUUUGGAUGGCUUUCCACAAAGUCCAUGCUUAUGCCAGACCAAGACUUACAAGGAAUGGGAAGUGGUUGCAAUAACCCAGCUCGUUUGCAGGUAUCAUGCUUCAUCUGUUGACAGACAGCACACUCCCUAAUGUAAUUCUUCAAAUAAAUUUUCAUACCUACCCACCAAAAGUCUUGCUUUAGCCUGUGAAAUGACUUCAAGUAACCAGAAUGGCCACCUAAAGGGUUGUCAUGAACAUGAGACAACACCUUAGGUUUUAGGCUCCAAGAUGGCCCUUAAAAAAAUCCUCCAUUUAUAAAGAAUUAGACUAUUAUGCAAGGUAUAAUGCUUAGUAGUUGUGCGUUGCUUAAGAUCAAUUAAGAGUUGCUGCAUCACCUCAUCAUGGAGAUAACUUUGUUGUAAUUCCUCAAUCCAAGUAAUACUCGGAAAUGAAAUAAGGAAUAAGUGGGCAUUAAGGUUUGCCACGUCCUCAAAUGAACAUCCUAACCUGGACAAGACACCAACAACCUUGUGUUAUCUUGACCCUUCUUGUACUCCACUACAAAAGCAUUGCCAAAAAGCUUAAAAAUCCACUUCUACUAUGCUGGAGUGCCUAUCUUCUGAUCCAACAAUAAUUUCAAGCUCUGAUGAUCAGUUUUAAUGAUGAAAGGUUUGCCAAGAAGGUAAGGUCUCCAUCUUUUAACAGCUAUAAAUAAGGCCAAGAACUCCUUAUCAUAAAUGGAAAGGUGCAAGCUUCUGCCCUUCAAGGCUUGGUUGUGGAAGACUAUAGGCGUCUGCCCUUGCAUUAGAACAGUACCUAUACCCACACCUGAAGCAUCACACUUAAUAACAAAGGUUUUAGAAAAGUCUAGUAAGGCUAGGACAUGAGGGUGCAUCACAGCAACAUUGAGAUGAUGAAAGGCAGAAUCAACUUCAGUAGUCCACCUAAAGGAAUCCUUCUUGAGCAAAUAAGUCAAAGGUGCAGCUAUGAGACCAUAAUUUAUGAUAAACUUCCUAUUGUAACCAGUGAGGCCUAAAAACCCUCCUUAAAGCUUUCAUACUAGUAGUAGGCCACUGCUGCAUUGCCAAGACUUUCUUAGAAUUAGUUUUAACACCUUCACUUGACACAAUAUGCCCUAAAUACUCCAUCUCAGAACAGCCAAAUGUACACUUGCUCCUCUUAGCAUAAAGCUGGUUUUGAAGCAAAACACUAAGCACAGCCUUCAAGUGAUCCAAAUGAUUUGCUAAGGACUUGCUAUAGACCAAGAUAUCAUAAAAAAAAAAAAAAAUUAAAAAAAAAAAUUCCUUAAAAAAGGUUUGAAAAUGUCAUUCAUAAGAGAUUGGAAGGUGGAAAGAGCAUUUGUAAGACCAAAGGGCAUAACUAGGAAUUCAUGACCUUCAUGAGUCCUAAAUGCAGUUUUGGGAACAUCCUUAGCUUUCAUUCUAAUUUGAUGAUAACCAGACUUUAAAUCUAGCUUAGAAAAGAUCAUAGAACCACAUAAUUCAUCAAGAAGUUCAUCCACUACUGGAAUGGGAAACUUAUCGUUAAUAGGAACUUGGUUUAGAGCCUUAUAAUCUAUUUACAUUCGCCAAGAUCCAUCAGCUUUCCUAACUAACAAAACAGGUGAUGAGAAAGGACUUUGGCUUGGUCUAAUAGAACUAACUUCCAAAAGCUCCUUAACAAUUUUUUCAAUCUCAGUUUUCUGGAAAUAAAGGUACUUGUAAGGCCUUCCACACACUGAUUGAGUGCCCUUCAUGAGAGUAAUGUUGUGCUCAUGUCCUCAAGAAGGAGGCAAACCUAGAGGAAUCUCAAACACAACUGCAAAUUCUUCCAAUAAGGAUUCCACUUCAGGUACAGGUUGGCUGGGCUCUGCAGUAAAGAGUUGGAUUGUGAUCUGCAACAACAAGCCUCUCUUAGCAGGUUUCUUGAAGAACUGGUUUGCAUCUUGAAAGGAAGAAUGAGAUGGCUUCAAUCCCUUAAGAAGCACUGAUUUUCCUUGCCAAUGAAAUGCCAUAGUGAGAAGAUUGAAGUCCCACUAUAAUACUCCUAAUGUUUUGAGUCAUUGAGAGCCUAAAACCAAAUCACACCCUCCGAAAGGAAGCACAUUGAGAUCCGUACAAAAGUCAUGACCCUACACUUGAACUUACAGGUCUUGACAAGCACCAAGUGUCCUCACUGUGGCUCCAUUGGCUAUUUUGACAUCAAAGGCUAAGGUAGGAUCAAUUGCCAACUUCAAACUUGAGCAUAAAUUAGCAUUCAGAAAAUUAUGGGUACUGCCAAUGUUAAUAAGAAUCACCAAGUGUGGACAUAAGGGAGAGUCACCACCUAGUUUUUGCAAUGGUUUAGAAACCAUGUAUAUAGCGUCCUUUUGAGGAAGGACCAUUGAUUUUACUACCAGAGAUAUAGGUUCGGAGUUAAGGUACAGUCUUAGGAAAGUGUUAGGUACCCAAAACUACUUAACCCUAAGGUUGGCUUCCUCUUAUUGUGUCUUAUGUCUUAACCUUAUUAAAGGCACAUUCAACAUUGUAUCUAUACUCACACACACGCUAGCAUACAUCUAACAAUCAACAUGACAUCAAUCAUCCCAAAACCUAAUCACUCAUCUAUCAUGGCAUAUCACAACCCAAGCAUACAUCUAUCUCAUCUCUUCCAAGGCAGCAAGCAUAUCACAAUACGGUAGCAUCAACAAGGCAUUAACAUUAAGCAUAUCCCAAACAUCCAAGCAUAACAUCAUGGUAUUAGCCAAGCAUAUUCAUCAUGUUCAUAAGCCAUAUUAUGCUCAUCAUUCCAAUCAGAGGCAUGUUUAUGUAAUUAUGCACAACUUACCUCACUUACCUCAUAACACCACAACACCUAUGCAUCAAUACAUGUUUAUGUUCAUAUACAUGUUCAUGUGAUUCAACCAUGAUAAAACCCUAAUUAUCAAUUCAACAAUCAAAGCAUGUGAAACAUGUUAUUCUACUAACCAUAGGCCUAAACAUGUGAAAAUUAUACUCAACAAGACUUAAACAGAGGAUUUAGAACUAAGCAAAACAAUCAAAAUUGCAAGAACUCUAAAUCUGCAUUUCUUGGCAUGAGUAUGUGUACGCAAGCCGCUAGUAUGUGUACACAUACAUAAGUAUACGCAACACAUACACGCCUAGAAACACAAUUUUAAAGCAAGCAACAAAAUUACAAUCAAACCAAACCUAACAUGCUUAUAAUAUAAAACUAAAUAACUUAAACUAACAAUAAAGAUAUCAAAGAUAAACAAAACAAAAAUAUAUUCCUAGACAUGCAUUGGAUCUAACAACAAACAAAAGCAACACUUAACACAUAAAAACAUACUUAUCAACAUAUCAAAUCAUAUCAACUUCCCAAUCAAAACAUGAUGUGAUAAAACAAAAUAAAAUCAAAUAAAACAAAACAUAUUUCAAAGCAUGAAUAACAUAUAAAUUAACUAAGAACAACAAAAACACAAAUUAUAAAAGAACCAAAUCAAGGAAAAGCCAUGAAGAGAGACUCACCUUGUUAUGGAAUACAAACUUGAUAGAUAUUUAACUGGCCUUUCAGUGCCUAUACAACAAGAUUCAAUGAGAUAUCAAGGUAAAAGAAGAUUUCAAUAAUUUAUAGGCAAUUACGACUCAAUAACAAGAUUAGUUUUAAAAAGGGUUUUGAGAAAUCAAAUUACGAAAAUAGUUUCUGCCUUUAGAACUAACUAAAGAGAGAUUUUUUAUUUGUUAAAAAUGUGCAAAGGUGUUGUGUGUGUGUGUGUUUUAGAAAAGAGAAUUAGGGUUUUAAAGAAGAUGGAAGCUAAAAAAUGACUCUUUCUAGUUAAGGUUUUGAUUGGAGGCAUAAGGUGAGUAUUUAUAAGUUAAAAUUAGGGUUUUCAAACUUUUUAAUGAUCUUUGGACGUUCUUAAGGGUCCAUGGGCUGGCCUACAUCAAAACAUUAAGUUUUAGGCCCUUAAAGUGAACUUUUAAUACCCAGAAAAUUAGACAGCCCAAUUGGCCCAACUUCAAAAAGUCAUAACUCACUUAAUUUAAGUCCAAAUUAAGCAAAAUUUGUAUUCAAAUUGAAGCCCAUGAUGUCUACUUUUCAAUAAAACAAAUAUCACUCAAAAAUUCUAUGUAUCAAAAGUUAUGGCCAAAAUAGUGAGCAAAUGUCAUUUUUCAACAUCAUUUUCAAAGCGAUUUGAGUACUUAUGAAUUGUGAUUACUUCCAAACUAUCAAAAUAACUUUAAUUACCUUUUGUAAAUAUGUCAAGCUCAUCAUUGGGAUCGGGGACUAAAGUUUAUUAAAUGGGUACAAAAUAAGGUGUCUACUCCAAGCAUUGCCCCUAAAUUUGACCUUCAAUUCUAAUUGUACCUGGGGAAGGGUUGCCCACUAAUUCAUACAAUGUGAUCUUAGGUGUGUCUUGCAGAAAUUCUUGAACUUAUGGAAAAAUAAUAGACCCAUUUGCAUCUAACUCCACAAGUUGUGGACCAGAGGAAGGUAAUUCAUGGAAAAAUGGUACUCCCUCUAAAAGGAAAAUCUUUGCUCUUUUACAAUGAUGUCCACUCUGCCACUUCACAUCACAGUGAUAACAAAGACACUUCUUCCCCCUCUCCUCCAUUUGAGCAGCUGUCAAUCUCUACAAAGGCACCCUUGUUCUUGAUUCUGGUGUGGAGUUGUUAUUCUUAAGCUUAGAAGUUCCAAGAAUGGAUGGUCUUAAACCAUUAUAGGAGAUCUUACUAUACUUCAUGCAACUCUAGAGGUACUCUUCUUGCAUCUUAGCAAGUCCAAAGGCUUCAUUGAGAGUCUUGGGACUCAACAUCCUCACUGGGAGCCUCACCUUAUCCUUAAGCACACUAAGUAAACAGCUCAGUUUGUGAGGCUUAGAAAACCUUUGAACUCUAUUAGAAAUAGCUUCAAAUUGCCCCUUAUAAGCAAGAACAGAUGAAAGGUCUGCUUCAACCUAGUGAGUGACUUCAUAGGAUCAUCAUAAGAAGUUGCACCAAAUCUCACAUGCACUACCUUAACAAAUGCCUCCCAAUUAGUGAACGACCCAAAAUUCUUAGUAUCUUGAAACCAAAUUAAGUCUUCCCUUUCCAUGUGAUAAGAUGCCAUCAAAACCUUUUGGUGUUCUAGGGUAUUGUAAUAAGCAAAAAACUGAUUGGACUUGUAAAUCCAUGAAUCUAAAUCUACCCCUGAAAAACGAGGAAACUCUAAUCUCAUGAGCUUGGCACCUGGCACAAGCCGCACAACAAUGGAGGUUUCCAUAUUCUAAGUUCCUCUCUAGUUUUCUUCUUGAACUCGUAUUUUUGUGUCACUCAAUCGUUCAUCAACCUUCUGCAUAAACUGGGCAAUUACACUUAAUUACUGCUUCAUCUUGAUCAAGGUUUGAUUAUGUCCCUCAAACUUGGCAGCCAAUGCUACAAUCUUCUCGCAGUUAGUGGUGGAUCUUGUCUUUGCCAUGGAUCACUUACUGCUCUAAUACCGAUUGUUAAGACUCACUAAGGCAAUCUAUGGCUAGCACAAGGAAAAGUAUUUCUAGUUGAAUUCAAGGACAACCGGGCCUCCUCAAGAAAGAUGGAAGAUUAGGAAUGGAAUUAGGAACUAGUGAAAUGAUUUUGAUACUAUUCAUGCAUUCCCCUUUCUUCACAUUACAAUCCCCUUUUAUACUCCCCUGCUCUCUAACUAACUACCAAGCAACUAACUAACAUAGUACCAAGUAACUAACUAACUGCCAAAACAAUUCAGCACAUGACCUAGUACAACUUAGCACAUGUCUAAUUACAAUUCAACACAUGCUUAUCAGUUCAGCACCUAUUCAGCAUAUGCUUAUGCCUCAUACAAUGCAGUUCCAAUCACAUGCUAAUGUAUUCAAUACAAUGCUAUACAAUCUCUAUGUUUUCUAUCAAAUUAGUGACAAUGGCAACAGCUGAGAGAGAGGUGAGAGGCGAGAGAUUUAGAUCUAAGAGGAGGAAAAGAGAUUUUAAAUGAAAAUAAUAAUAAUUAAAUAAUUAAAAAUUAUUAUUUACAUAAAAUAGAGUGUAUAAUACAUAAUCUGAUAUGAGUAUUUUUGAGAAGUGAUUGAGUUAAAUAAAAAAAGCUAAAAUAGACAUAAAAUUUUAGACUUUUAUAAAUAAAUAAAAAAGGUGGGCACUUUAUCACAUGAGAAGUGUUAUGUCCAUAGUUUUUUUAUAAUAAAUCAUAGGUGGUUAGUUAUCAUUGGUUCUAAUUUGAACCUAUCAUUGAAAUUACUUUUUUGUCUCAUCAAUAACAAUUCAUAACAAUUUGUCACUUAUAAUUUGCUGUGAAAGUGUUGUGUACAUAACAUUUCUCUUAUCAUAUGAUCUUUGAUAGUUACUUGUUACAGAUUCAAAUCUUGUACAAAUAGAGUAUACUAGGGUAUUGCAUGGGGUGCAAUAGUUUCAAUCUCAAUAGUUACUUUUAGAGUAAGUCUAGCGCCACAACAAUUUCUACUAUUUUUGUCACAACUUGUCUACGUGGAGAGUUGUAAGUGGUGGAAAUAAAAUAAUGAGUCUAUGUGGAUCUAUGAUUUCUCCACUCAUGAGUUGCCAUAAGAUAAAGUUGCAGUAAAAUUGUGGAAUUAGUUGUAGUACCUGACUUACUGUUGCUUUUAUCCAAUGCCUAGAAAAAUGACACCUCAUAUAUUACACGUCAUCAAUCCGCAGUGAUACACUCUCCCAGUCCCCCCUCCUCUACUCAUAUCUCCAGUUUCCCCCAAUAUUUCAAAAACUCCCUCACAAUCUCUUCCAUCAGAUAUUUUCCCGGGAUAGCCAUGGCCAAAUCUCCAUGGCUACUACAUCUAGCAGCCACCACGUCCUUCAACAUCACCAUCGGCAGUGCUUGCCAGUGUGGUCCUCCUCUGUUAAAGUUACUCUGUCUCUCCCUCAUAUCAGUUUCUCUCUCUGUUUUCUCAUUCUCUAAAGCUCGCCUCUGGCAGAGCUUCUUCUUGCACCACAUUGGCAGUGAUUACUACUGUGUCACCACCACUAGUGGCUGCCAGGUCUCCCUCAUCUCUCUCUACUGUCUUUUCUCUUUAUACUCGCCUUUUAGAAAUGACAUAAACUCUUGGCUUUUAUUUUGUUUCAAUUUUAAUUAGUUUGAUGACUGCAUUGACUGGAAUGUUCUUUGUUCAGAGUAAAGCUUGAUUAUUUUCUUGGGUUUAAAAAAUAGGUCUUUUUGGUUAAGGUCGAAUUUGCUGUGAUUGAAUGGAAAGUGGCCUGCUUGUAUUUGCUAUGUGUAUAGGUCUCUUAGCUUUGGAAUUAACUGAGAGUGAGUAUUUUCUGUUUGAUGGUGAGCUUGUUUAUGUGUCCUUACUGUAAAUCUAUGUUAUGGCCUUAUGGGUAUAGAUUUUGUUUGAAUUUUGGGGUUUCAAAUGAAUGGUGGUUGGAUGGGCUUUUUAAGAAUUGGGUUGAUUUCAAAAUGGAUUUAGAUGUGAGUACGUAUUUUAAUGUGUCAAGACUAAAGACUCAAAAAAUGUCAUUGUGUGUGUGUGUAAAAUUUGUGUUCCAAGAGUGGGGGUGUUUUUUCUUUAACUUCUUUACGUGUGUAAAAUUUUGUUGCUUGGUCAUGAGGUAUGCUAAAAAUUCCUUAUGACAUUUUUCUUUAUGCGUAUCUAAUUUUCCUUAGGUACUUGUUCUUUUCUUAAAUUUGGAUGGAUUAUGCAGAUGUGUAUUUUGCUGGUGGAUGAUAUAUUUCGAUGUGUUGUAGUUCAUUUUAAAGAUCCAAACUGUGGCUCUUGAUGGGUGAGCUUGUGGGGACAUUUUUUUUCUUGCUUGAAUGAUUACUAAGUUUAGCCCAAAAUUUUUAAGUAGUAUAUGUUAUGGCCUCCCCAAAAUAUUCUAGAUGAAAUUUAAUUCUACUUGGGCAUUUCUAUGUUAUAUAGAUAUGGUACUGAUUUAUAGGAUAAAGCAGAAAUUGCCACUGAGGUUGGCACAAUUGAGCUUAUGAACAGAAGAGCUUGUUUUAUGCAUUUCUGUUUUCUUUUUUCAUUUACAGAGGCUGUUAUAUGGAGCAAUGACUAUAUGUCUCUUGUUGUCUUGUUUACAGGAAAAAAUUUUAG